rnacentral:rRNA from 1 species
AAAUUGAAGAGUUUGAUCAUGGCUCAGAUUGAACGCUGGCGGCAGGCCUAACACAUGCAAGUCGAACGGUAGCACAGAGAGCUUGCUCUCGGGUGACGAGUGGCGGACGGGUGAGUAAUGUCUGGGAAACUGCCUGAUGGAGGGGGAUAACUACUGGAAACGGUGGCUAAUACCGCAUAACGUCGCAAGACCAAAGAGGGGGACCUUCGGGCCUCUUGCCAUCAGAUGUGCCCAGAUGGGAUUAGCUUGUUGGUGAGGUAACGGCUCACCAAGGCGACGAUCCCUAGCUGGUCUGAGAGGAUGACCAGCCACACUGGAACUGAGACACGGUCCAGACUCCUACGGG